AGAAAAGGGUUGUGAGUUCAAUGGCAAGUAUUGAAUGAAUGCUAAUGCACGUAAGUGGGGUUGUUGAAUACCUUGGGAUGACCCUUUUAGCUUGUAACCAAAGGCUUCCUUUUGAAACUAUAUCAGAGGUAUCAUCUUAGGGAUUCUCAAGCCUCUGCAUAUACAAGAAAGAUUCUGCGGAUGUUAAGUGCGCAAACAUAUUGGUGGAUGCAAGCGGAUCUAUGAAACUUGCAGAUUUUGGGUUGGGCAAAGGUCUUAGGAAUAUGGUGACAAAAGAAACGAUUUCUUGGCCAAUGUUUGUGUAUGGCGGAGAAAAAGACGACGUUGAGCCAUCAAGAGAGAAAGGAAAGGCGAGAGCCGACGAUGAGUGACGCGAGCUUUCGGUAUAGGUUAUUCUCGAGGUUAGAAGAAGUGGUUUCAGCAUCCAGCCGGAGAUCCUCAACUCAUCAAUGUUGAUAAUGAGCUUAAGUAAUUGGUUAGGCCAUUUUGAAUUGGUACAAUUUGGAUCAAUUGCAAACACGUUGCGGCAUCGAGCAUUUUUCGUCGUGACGAGACCUAGUUAAUGAGUUGUAUUGCGAUAAGGAACCCCCAAAGUCGUGAUGCCAACUCAAGAUUUUGAAAAACAUUACAAUUUGGUCCUAAUUCAACCUCGGGUUAGCAAUAGAGCUUUUGUAAGCUUGUAGAAGACUUGGAAAUGAUUGUAUAUCAUCCUAUGUGCAUAUAUUACUCGCAGUUACUCCGACAACGAAUGUGACAUGCUGUAGCUUGAACCCGACGAUCGGGUCAGGUAUGGGGUGUUGCAAAUACAAAGGAAUGAUUUAAUCCAACAAGCUGAGGAGAGUGUGUAGUGAACAUCUUGCCAAAAUUUCUCCUUGUGUAUGGCAAUUUGAGCUGCAAAUUUCUUGACUUUUUUAUACUUGAGAUGGUGUGAUCUUGGCUUUAAAUCCAUGCAUAACAUGGUUGUAAGGGUAAAGUGUUGGAUCUGGAGCCCUAAGUGUAAUAUAUUUGUUUGAACAAUUAUAAUUUUUCAAACAGAUUAUUUUAAUA